AGAGAAGUAUGUGAUUGGGUUCUAUGGCCCAGAGCCUGUCAUCUCAGUCAUUCAAGAUGUUGAGGCAGGAGGAUAGAAACGCCCGGCCUACAUAUGUAGUGAUUUCGACAUCGUCCUGGCCCGCUUUUGAGGAUGCAACCUAAAAACUAAAAAUGAAAUUGAGCAUGGUGGGUCCCCGCACGCAGGAGGCAGAGGUUCUCCAUGGUUCUCCACUGCAGUCCUAGCAGAGAGAUUAAGUCUCCUGCCUGAAAUCACACAGCCAAGAAUGAAAGUGUUCCAGCAAGAACAUAUUGUGAAACACUUGGAAGGUAGAGGCAGGAGGAUCUCUGUGAGUUCCAGGCCAGCCAGAGAUACACAGUGAGACCCUAUGUCAAAAACAAGCAAAAAGAACCGUGUGGCAGUUAAAAGCAUCUGCUGUUUUUCCAGAGGACCCAAGUUCCAUUCCCAGAACCGACACCAGGCAUCUUAUCCACCUGUAACUCCAGCUCGAGGGCAUCCAAUGUCCUCUCUGGGCCUCCCUUGGCAUCAGAGCACACAUGGAACAUACACACAGUAAUGUACACACA
rnacentral:lncRNA from 1 species